AUACUUACCUGGCAGGGGAGAUACCAUGAUCACGAAGGUGGUUUUCCCAGGGCGAGGCUUAUCCAUUGCACUCCGGAUGUGCUGACCCCUGCGAUUUCCCCAAAUGUGGGAAACUCGACUGCAUAAUUUGUGGUAGUGGGGGACUGCGUUCGCGCUCUCCCCUU
ensembl:snRNA U1 U1 spliceosomal RNA